GGAUGUGAGGGUGAUCUGGCUGGGACAUCUGUCACCCCAGUGAUCGCCAGGGUUGAUUCGGCUGAUCUGGCUGGCUAAGCUCAUGUCCCCUUCCUCCCUUCACCACUCCAUGUGCGUCCCUCCCCAAGCUGCACGCUUGAAGAGGACAACCUUCCCUGAUAGAGGAGGACUGGUCAAGGGUAUAGGAGUAGUUGCGCUCCCCUGUUAGAACCUCCAAACAAGCUCUCAAGAAAUAUGCCAAAAUCCCUAACAAAUUAUUAGUAAAUGUAAAAAGGAUGCUUAAUAU
rnacentral:snRNA from 1 species